GUGUUUACCUUGGCAGCACAUACACUAAUAUUAGAACGAUACAGAGAAGAUUAGCAUGGCCCCUGCACAAGGAUGACAUGCAAAUUCCUGAAGUGUUCCAUAUUUUU
rnacentral:snRNA from 1 species